GCCCAUUUAGAGCAGUGGUUAGCUCACUCGUCUCCGGUGUCCUCUCUGGAUCAACGAGAAGUCAGGGGUUCGAAUCCCCUAAUGGGUU
rnacentral:tRNA from 1 species